CCCCACCCGNGUGAGUAUGAAGGCUUUCGGGUCGUAAAGCUCUGUCAAGUGGGAAGAACCUGCCUUAUGCCAAUACCAUAAGGCACUGACGGUACCACUGAAGGAAGCACCGGCUAACUCCGUGCCAGCAGCCGCGGUAAUACGGGGGGUGCAAGCGUUAUUCGGAAUUAUUGGGCGUAAAGGGCGCGUAGGCGGUCUUAUAAGUCAGAUGUGAAAGCCCGGGGCUUAACCCCGGAAGUGCAUUUGAAACUAUAGGACUUGAGUAUGGGAGAGGGAAGUGGAAUUCCUGGUGUAGAGGUGAAAUUCGUAGAUAUCAGGAGGAACACCGGUGGCGAAGGCGACUUCCUGGACCAAUACUGACGCUGAGGCGCGAAGGCGUGGGGAGCAAACAGGAUUAGAUACCCUGGUAGUCCACGCAGUAAACGUUGAACACUAGGUGUAGCGGGUAUUGACCCCUGCUGUGCCGCAGUUNACGCAUUAGGGUCCG
rnacentral:rRNA from 1 species